GCCAGGACAGGAUGGCCCGGGGUCUGGCUAGCUAGUUGGUAAGGUAACGGCUUACGAAGGCGACGAUCAGUAGCCGACCUGAGAGGGGGAUCGGCCACAUUGGAACUGAGACACGGUCCAAACUCCGACGGGAGGCAGCAGUGGGGAAUAUUGCACAAUGGGCGAAAGCCUGAUGCAGCAACGCCGCGUGAGUGAUGAAGGCCUUCGGGUCGUAAAACUCUGUCCUCAAGGAAGAUAAUGACGGUACUUGAGGAGGAAGCCCCGGCUAACUACGUGCCAGCAGCCGCGGUAAUACGGAGGGGGCUAGCGUUAUCCGGAUUUACUGGGCGUAAAGGGUGCGUAGGCGGUCUUUCAAGUCAGGAGUGAAAGGCUACGGCUCAACCGUAGUAAGCUCUUGAAACUGGGAGACUUGAGUGCAGGAGAGGAGAGUGGAAUUCCUAGUGUAGCGGUGAAAUGCGUAGAUAUUAGGAGGAACACCAGUUGCGAAGGCGGCUCUCUGGACUGUAACUGACGCUGAGGCACGAAAGCGUGGGGAGCAAACAGGAUUAGAUACCCUG
rnacentral:rRNA from 1 species